rnacentral:rRNA from 1 species
GGCGGACGGGUGAGUAACACGUGGGUAACCUGCCUGUAAGACUGGGAUAACUCCGGGAAACCGGAGCUAAUACCGGAUAGUUCCUUGAACCGCAUGGUUCAAGGAUGAAAGACGGUUUCGGCUGUCACUUACAGAUGGACCCGCGGCGCAUUAGCUAGUUGGUGAGGUAACGGCUCACCAAGGCGACGAUGCGUAGCCGACCUGAGAGGGUGAUCGGCCACACUGGGACUGAGACACGGCCCAGACUCCUACGGGAGGCAGCAGUAGGGAAUCUUCCGCAAUGGACGAAAGUCUGACGGAGCAACGCCGCGUGAGUGAUGAAGGUUUUCGGAUCGUAAAGCUCUGUUGUUAGGGAAGAACAAGUGCAAGAGUAACUGCUUGCACCUUGACGGUACCUAACCAGAAAGCCACGGCUAACUACGUGCCAGCAGCCGCGGUAAUACGUAGGUGGCAAGCGUUGUCCGGAAUUAUUGGGCGUAAAGGGCUC